rnacentral:lncRNA from 1 species
CAAGAAUAGACUGAUGUUGUCCUUAACCUGUCACCCGAUUAUUACAAAAUUCUCUACAGAAUUAAAUGUAUAGAAAAACAUAAGAAAGGGACAUAACCAAGUCGGAAAGUAAUGUUAAUUUCACAAUGUGCCCACUGCAUUCAUCUGUGUGCUGUUUUCAAGGGUAACAUAGUUCACGUGUUGCCCGUUAGGUUUUUUCGUGCUGGUCUGACUAGUUCUAUUUAAUUAUUUUGCAUAGAUUACUUUGGUCAGUUUUCAUAUUUAUGCCAGGAACUAUCUUUUUAAUUCAUUGCAUUUAAAUACUUAUCUGUACUAUCCAAAAUAUCCUGAUAUGAUUUGUCUCUCUGAGUCUGAACCUGGAAGCGCCCUCGAAAGGAAAACACUUGUUUAACACACAGGAAGUAGGUUUAGCUCCACCCCCUGCAUCCGCCAUCUCCUGUUACUACAUGGGAAGGCGGGCGAAUUUGAAAAAAGAGCAUAUUCGUUUGCAUCCGAAAACAGAGAAAUUUGUUUAAUACAAUUCCAUAUAACCGACCAUAUAACAGAUUGGACAGUGUAAGUAAAACUAAGGCACAGCUCUUUUAAAAUACAUGCAACGUUGUUGUUGUAAUCGUGGCAUUGUAAAUUUCUCGCGUGUUCGUCGUGUUAGCUUACUGACUAGCAGCAGUUUGCAGUUUCUGGAUCUGUAUUGUCUUGCAAGAUGAGCAACAAAACCACACGAUUACCGUCGCGGAAAAGCAGCGAUGAAAUCAGAAAGUCAAGUGGAAAGAGUCCACCACGAAGGAGGUCCUGCAGGUUGUCUGCAAGUGAUGUAAAUCUGGCCUCUAAAGUUGUGGUGAGUUCACUAAAGUCAGUCACUGAUUGAUGAGUGGUAGGAAUCGAUGGAAAAAACAAGACACGUCUGGUAUUUACUUCUAUAAAUGAAAUCAGAAGCUGAUUUUCUGUUGUGAGUUGACAAGUAAGGUUUUUUUGCUCAUCACGUG